GAACCAGACAUGAGAGUCCUAUCACCUGGGUGCUGGGUGUAAGAGUCAACAACUCCUGAGACUUAGGUUCAAGUGCAUGAGUCACAAUCUCAACAGUGGAUUGCAUCCUGCCAUGAGAGCCCCAAUCCCUUCUCCAAGCUGUGUUCCAGUAGAGGAGUCGCAACAUCAAUGGUGUGCUGAAUCCUGGUUGGAGAGUUCCCACUUCACCUGUGGACUGGAUCUGUAUAUAAGAGGAGAGAUGUCGACUCUCAUGCCUGGGCUUAGGGCAAUGGGCAUGAUCCUACAUUUGGGAUUGUAGCAACAACUCUUGACUGCCCUUGGGUGUGAGAUUCAGAACCUCAAUUGUGACCUGUGUACACUUGGGCAUGUGACAAUUUCUACUUUUGGCUGUGUGUUCAUACAAGACUCUCAAUCUCACCUGUGUUCUGGGCCCUGUUAUUAGAC
rnacentral:lncRNA from 10 species